rnacentral:rRNA from 1 species
GACGAACCGUACGAACGUUAUUCGGAAUCACUGGGCUUAAAGGGUGCGUAGGCGGCGCGACAAGUUGGGUGUGAAAUCCCUCGGCUCAACCGAGGAACUGCGCCCAAAACUGUCGUGCUCGAGGGAGACAGAGGUGAGCGGAACUUAGGGUGGAGCGGUGAAAUGCGUUGAUAUCCUAAGGAACACCGGUGACGAAAGCGGCUCACUGGGUCUCUUCUGACGCUGAGGCACGAAAGCUAGGGUAGCGAACGGG